rnacentral:snRNA from 1 species
GGAUUUAUUUUAUAAAGGUGUUG